UAUAGAAAGCCUUCGAUAAAGCACAUCUACUGUGCGCUGUCAGUAAGUUGAGAAUUAACCACGAGAAAAGCAAAGAAUUUGGUGUUCAUCUAGGCUCAAUCGUUAGUCCCCUACUUUUCAUUAUUACUGCCUGAGUUUGGUCAUGAGAUGCAGAUGGAUACCGACAGCUUCAUAAAGAAGUGACGUUCCCUCAAAGUGGAUAAAACUCGUGGAAGUAGGAGACCUAGGAAGACAGGUCGGAGUACUGAAAGACACCCUCAGGAAGCAAAACUUUUCAGGCAAGAUGACAAAGGAUUGAGAUAACCUGGGGCCUUCUUGUACUCAAGACCUGCCCUCCACAACAGAAGUGUUAAAGCCGCAGCCCCUGGUGCAAAGGAAUGAUCUCCAAGAGUCCCUUGCUGGUGCCACGUAAAAAUAACCCAUACCAGUGCCACGAAAAGGUGAUCGCGCCAGUGGCACAUUAAAACCACGCCACAAACACUGUAGAAAGCGUAUCCAGCUGUAGAACCCAAACCUCGUGCUGUUCUCCAGCUUGACAGCUGAGGUGAAAACGUCCAACCCAUGCCAGCAUGGAAAACGAAUGUUAAAGGAUGCUGACGCUGAUGCGGAUGAUGU